GAUGAAGAACGCAGCGAAAUGCGAUAAGUAAUGUGAAUUGCAGAAUUCAGUGUAUCAUCGAAUCUUUGAACGCACCUUGCACUCCUUGGUAUUCCGAGGAGUACGCCUGUUCGAGUGUUAUGAAGCUCUCAAAACGCAAUUGGCUUAAAACCUGAUUGUUGUUUUGGAUUUGAACUUUGCCGUGUUAUAACGGCUGGUUUUAAAAGUAUUAGCUGGUACUAGAACGAAUUGGUUCUACUCAACGUGAUAAUUAUCUGAUCGUUGAGGACAUUCCUUUCACGAGGAAUGGCCAUAGUAAAUUCAAUGGACUGCUUCUAAUCUGGCUUUAAUUCUUUAUUGGAUUAACCACUUUUCAAAUCUGACCUCGAAUCAGGUGGGACUACCCGCUGAACUUAAGCAUAUCAUAAGCGGAGGA
rnacentral:misc_RNA from 1 species